ACUUCUCCCUUUACCGGAAGUGAACUUUUUAUUCAUUAUUUCAAAAGCUGAGAAAAUUCGGUCCAGAGUCUGUAAGUCUCGUCACGUGACUCGCGAGAUUUUACGAUAAUUUUCACUUCCUCGCACAUGGUCAUGGUGAAUGUGUGUUGAGUUCAGCAUGUUUCUGGUUUACACACAGCUUUCAGGGGGAAAUUAAAUAGUUUUACAAAGCCGAAGGGUUGUCCGACUUACGAUGUAUGAAUUUCAUGUCAUAAGAAAUUGGGUGCGAGCGUCCACCAGGAAUAUUUCGAUCGAAAUACAGAUUUCUCUUGAAUCCGAGAUGUUAUUCAUCAGCUGAUUAUAGAGGAGGAGUUUUGUCAUUGAUGGGAACCAACGUCAUAUUUAUGAUAUUGUGGCUGCAUCACUUUUGUUUGGGUUUUGUCUGUACAUCUGGCAAUCUUGGGGCAAUACUGGAUGGUUUUAAAUAAGAACUGAUCCAGCAUGAAGACCAGCCAUGUGCCUCACCUGUCAUGACAUUAUUAAAGUACUUUGUGACAGUGGGAUGAUGGAAUAUUAAAGAAUGGACAUGGCUCUAUAUUACUGCAUCAGAGAUCAAUCCAGGUUUACUUAUAAAUCAAAGAAAAACACUUAAACAGUCAAGCAUCGUUUGAAGCUACAUGU